UACGUAGGGACCAAGCGUUGUUCGGUUUUACUGGGCGUAAAGGGCGCGUAGGCGGCGCUGUAAGUCACUUGUGAAAUCUCCGGGCUUAACUCGGAACGGUCAAGUGAUACUGCAGUGCUAGAGUGCAGAAAGGGCAAUCGGAAUUCUUGGUGUAGCGGUGAAAUGCGUAGAUAUCAAGAGGACCACCUGAGGCGAAGGCGGGUUGCUCGGCUGACACUGACGCUGACAGCGCGAAAGCCAGGGGAGCAAACGGG
rnacentral:rRNA from 1 species